ensembl:lncRNA
UUUUUUUUCUUUUUUUUUUGAGACGAAGUGUUGCUGUGUGGCCCAGGCUGGAGUUCAGGGGUGUGAUCCCGGCUCACUGCAAGUUCCGCCUCCCAGGUUCAUGCCAUUCUCUUGCCUCAGCCUCCCAAGUAGCUGGAACUACAGGUGCCCACCACCAUGCCCAGCUAAUUUUUCUAUUUUUAGUAGAGACGGGGUUUCACUAUGUUAGCCAGGAUGGUCUCAAUCUCCUGACCUUGUGAUUUGCCCUCCUCAGCCUCCCUAAGUGCUGGGAUUACAGGUGUGAGCCACUGCAACCUGCCAACAGUUCAUUUUAUAUAACCUUGCAAGUCAAGAAUUUUCUAUUCACUGUCUCAACCAACUUAGCCCUAGGGUGCUCUUCAAGACACUGAUAUUCGUGUCACUAGUGCUGGGACAUGGGCCGAGGCUGAGGCACACAGAUGAUUCGUUGUGAUCAAAUGGGUCAGGCUCAGGGUUAACACUUGCCAGGUCAGAAAGAGAGCAUAGGGCUGUGAUCUCAACCAUGAAGAGUCUCUAAUUCUAAAGUCAGGGGACACAGUAGAGUUAGAUUACGGUUAUGGCUGGAGCCACGAUGGCCAGCCUGUGGGAGGGUAGGACUCAGGUGGACUGGACUGAAUGAGAAAGGUACCAUCUCAAGCAUAGAAUGGGCAUCACUGGCUAUCUGAUGGAGGCUGUGUCAAAAUCAUAUUCACCCAAGAAUCAGGGCCAGGUCACACAAGGUCAGGGCAGGGUAAGUGUGAAUUAAGGGCUACAGGCAGGUCAGGCUUUCAUAAGACUCAGCUAUCCUAGACCCCACCCCACCAGGGUCCCUCCCUCACUCAUGUGACUCAGCCCCUCCAUGUGCACCUACAGCCUGAUGUCAGAGACACAAUCGUCCCAGGGUCCCCCGACAGUGGAUGAGAUGGCCUUGGGAGAUGUACUUCCCAGCACUCCUCAUCAGUCUUGGGCGCUGUCAGGCCCCUUCUUGGUGCCUCCAGCACAUCAGCGAUGUGGCGGGUGCCUUCACCAGAGUUGCUGGGUGGUUACGCCAGGCCCGAGACAGAGCCUGCAAGGGCAGGGAACUCUAGGGCCAUAGUGGGGCAGAGAAGGGGCUCCUCUUGGAGCCUAAUCAUAGCCACCCCUGCCCAAAAUCACAACCUACAAGUUAGAAAGAAACUUAAGGGUCCUGAUUCCCACUACCCUGUCUGGCCCCAUUUCAUGGAUGUGAAAGCUGAGACUCCAACAGCAAAGAGGACCACAUUGCUCUCCACCUUCUCAAUGGCCCUGCUGGGUAGGAAGCCAGACUCCCCUCUGGAUGUCCCCUGGUACUGUCCCAAAACUAAUCUCUCUCAUUACUGCCUUGUAAGACAUUAUAGGAAACUGACAGUAAGAAAAUUUAAAAACAGGAGGAUAAUACAGCUCAAGUUGACCCACCCACAAUCAAGUAACCUCUUUUACACAGUUGUUUGCAGCAAAUUGUAGACAUCAUGCCCAUUAGUCUAAACAUUCCAUUUGUGUCUCUAAACAUAUGGACCCCAAAAAAACUACAUUCUCACAAACCUAAAUAGAAAUUGUCAAUAAUUCUUUCAUAUC